rnacentral:piRNA from 1 species
GGCAAGCUCAGCAAACAGAACCGCAAGCUG